UACGUAGGAUGCAAGCGUUGUCCGGAAUUACUGGGCGUAAAGCGUGCGUAGACGGUUGCGUAAGUCAGAUGUGAAAGCCCCGGGCUCAACCUGGGAAUUGCAUAUGAGACUGCGUAGCUAGGGUGCGGAAGAGGGAAGCGGAAUUUCCGGUGUAGCGGUGAAAUGCGUAGAUAUCGGAAGGAACACCAGUGGCGAAAGCGGCUUCCUGGUCCAGCACCGACGUUCAGGCACGAAAGCGUGGGGAGCAAACAGG
rnacentral:rRNA from 1 species